rnacentral:rRNA from 1 species
CGGCAUCAGCUCAAAUUUGAAAUCUGGCGUCUUCGGCGUCCGAGUUGUAAUUUGUAGAGAGUGUCUCGGGUGAGCACCGGUCCAAGUCCCUUGGAACAGGAUAUCAUAGAGGGUGAGAAUCCCGUAUCCGGCCGGCCCCCUCCCCCACUGUGAGACCUCUUCGAC